rnacentral:rRNA from 1 species
CGGACGGGUGAGUAACACGUGGAUAACCUACCUAUAAGACUGGGAUAACUUCGGGAAACCGGAGCUAAUACCGGAUAAUAUUUUGAACCGCAUGGUUCAAAAGUGAAAGACGGUCUUGCUGUCACUUAUAGAUGGAUCCGCGCUGCAUUAGCUAGUUGGUAAGGUAACGGCUUACCAAGGCAACGAUGAUAGCCGACCUGAGAGGGUGAUCGGCCACACUGGAACUGAGACACGGUCCAG